GACGAACGCUGGCGGCGUGCCUAAUACAUGCAAGUCGAGCGGACUUUCAAGAAGCUUGCUUUUUGAAAGUUAGCGGCGGACGGGUGAGUAACACGUGGGCAACCUGCCUGUAAGACGGGGAUAACUCCGGGAAACCGGGGCUAAUACCGGAUAAUAUCUUUCUUCGCAUGAAGGAAGGUUGAAAGGCGGCGCAAGCUGCCGCUUGCAGAUGGGCCCGCGGCGCAUUAGCUAGUUGGUGAGGUAACGGCUCACCAAGGCGACGAUGCGUAGCCGACCUGAGAGGGUGGUCGGCAACACUGGGACUGAGACACGGCCCAGACUCCUACGGGAGGCAGCAGUAGGGAAUCUUCCGCAAUGGACGAAAGUCUGACGGAGCAACGCCGCGUGAGCGAAGAAGGUCUUCGGAUCGUAAAGCUCUGUUGUCAGGGAAGAACAAGUACCGUUCGAAUAGGGCGGUACCUUGACGGUACCUGACCAGAAAGCCACGGCUAACUACGGGCCAGCAGCCGCCGCAG
rnacentral:rRNA from 1 species